rnacentral:rRNA from 1 species
UACCAGCACCCCGAGUGGUCGGGACGAUUAUUGGGCCUAAAGCAUCCGUAGCCGGUCCUACAAGUCUUCCGUUAAAUUCGCCUGCUUAACAGAUGGGCUGCGGAAGAUACUAUAGGGCUAGGAGGCGGGAGAGGCAAGCGGUACUCAGUGGGUAGGGGUAAAAUCCUCUGAUCCAUUGAAGACCACCAGUGGCGAAGGCGGCUCACUGGCCCGAUACUGACGCUGAGGCACGAAAGCGUGGGGAGCAAACAGG